AUUGAACGCUGGCGGCAGGCCUAACACAUGCAAGUCGAACGAGUGGCGGACGGGUGAGUAAUGUCUGGGUAACUGCCUGAUGGAGGGGGAUAACUACUGGAAACGGUAGCUAAUACCGCAUACCAUUGGAUGUGCCCAGAUGGGAUUAGCUAGUAGGUGGGGUAAAGGCUCACCUAGGCGACGAUCCCUAGCUGGUCUGAGAGGAUGACCAGCCACACUGUAACUGGGACACGGUCCAGAAUCCGACGGGAGGCAGCAGUGGGGAAUAUUGCACAAAGGGCGCAAGCCUGAUGCAGCCAUGCCGCGUGUAUGAAGAAGGCCGUCGGGUUGUAGAGUACUUUCAGCGGGGAGGCGUUACCCACAUAAGAAGCACCGGCUAACUCCGUGCCAGCCGCCGCGGUAAUAC
rnacentral:rRNA from 1 species